rnacentral:tRNA from 1 species
GCUCUUCUAGUAUACCUAUUACAAUCGACUUCCAAUCCUUAAAGUCCGGUUCAAAUCCGGAGAAGAGCA